GGAGAUGUAGCUCAAAAUCUAUUUCCACCGGUUUGAGCACUUGCAUCCUUCAAGGCGAGGCUAUCAGGGUUCGAAUCCCUGCAUCUCCA